UGCGUAGGUGGCGCGCUAAGUCAGGUGUGAAAUUUCGGAGCUUAACUCCGAAACUGCAUUUGAUACUGGCGUGCUUGAGGACUGGAGAGGAGACUGGAAUUCAUGGUGUAGCAGUGAAAUGCGUAGAGAUCAUGAGGAAGACCAGUGGCGAAGGCGGGUCUCUGGACAGUUCCUGACACUGAGGCACGAAGGCCAGGGGAGCAACG
rnacentral:rRNA from 1 species